CAAAUUCAUUAUGACCUCACUGGAACGUGAUCACAUCUGUGAAGAUCCUGAUUCCAUGGUGCAGGUAGACGUGAACUUCGAAAGGACACUGUUCAACCUUGGGUCAGUCACCGGGGAAAGAAUGUCGCUAGAGAAGAAGCCUGAGGGGUACAGGGCUUUCAGAUCCUCGUGGUUAGAGGACAGACAGAAGGACCUACUUAAUAACGCAGCAGGGAGUGAGUCUCACUAGGCUGGAGGAGCAUCCUUCCAACAAGAGUGACCAACAGUGUCACACACCGCUGGGAGAUGGAGGAGGACCGACUUUCUGGUUUUGGAAACAGCUAACAGACAAUUCGUUCUUCAGUAAUAAUGGUGGCUGAAAUGAAGAGGGAAUAAUCCUGACAGAGCUCUGAGGAUUAGAAGUGCCAGCAAAAUCAGACAGUCGCACGACCUCAUCCCUCAAAGCUCUGUGCUGGAUCAUGUCAUCCGUUAAUUGUCACUG